rnacentral:rRNA from 1 species
UGGGGAAUAUUGCACAAUGGGCGCAAGCCUGAUGCAGCCAUGCCGCGUGUAUGAAGAAGGCCUUCGGGUCGUAAAGUACUUUCAGUCGGGAGGAAGGUGGUAAGGUUAAUAACCUUAUCAAUUGACGUUACCGACAGAAGAAGCACCGGCUAACUCCGUGCCAGCAGCCGCGGUAAUACGGAGGGUGCAAGCGUUAAUCGGAAUUACUGGGCGUAAAGCGCACGCAGGCGGUUGAUUGAGUCAGAUGUGAAAUCCCCGGGCUUAACCCGGGAAUUGCAUCUGAUACUGGUCAGCUAGAGUCUUGUAGAGGGGGGUAGAAUUCCAUGUGUAGCGAUGAAAUGCGUAGAGAUGUGGAGGAAUACCGGUGGCGAAGGCGGCCCCCUGGACAAAGACUGACGCUCAGGUGCGAAAGCGUGGGGAGCAAACAGG